GAGAGGCAGAGGUGGAAGCCUGGACUCCGACGACGUUUCCUGUCGCAUUGUAGCUGACGCGUCCAUACAGCAUGCACAGACCACCGAAGUUACCCUGACACAGAGAGAAAGACAGAGUUCCAUACAAGGGAGAGAGGAUGGGCGCGACUAGCGACUCGAUCACAAGACUCGCUUAUUACUGGCGCACAUGUUCACAUUUCCUCCAACAUUUCUAACAAAAACACACUAAGCACUCCCCGGAACAGAGAAGUGAGUUCCCCCGGAAGAGAGAGCGCGGCGCCCCGGUGGAAGCCCCGGUAGAAGCGGGGUUUCUCCGUGAAUCUCACCUGGACGAUGGUGAGGGAGGCGGCGGCG